rnacentral:tRNA from 1 species
GGGAGAAGUCCGGGGCUGGUGCUUCGGCCGGUCUUCAAAACCGCGUUGGCCUCCGCAAGGAGGCUGGUAGGUUCGAUUCCUAUCUUCUCCCGCCA